AAUAAGGACAUUGCUUGGUGACGACUGGGAAUGGAGCCUUAGAUCAAAUCAGUUGUCAUCAAUUUAAAACUGGUUGUCCAGUAGAAAAUUUCAGAGGAACUGACCUAUACAAAUUUUCAGAUUGCAGUAGAAUCAACACAGAAAAGCAAUGUUUUUAUGCUGAUCCAUCAUGUCAAAACACG